ACGUUGGUACAGUGAUUUUAUUAUUUAAUUUUAAAAUGUUUUAAAAGAUGUAAGUAUCGCUAAAAAUGAUUUUUUCUUGUCAUUUUCUUUAUAAAUAAUUAUUCAAAUGAAACGAACGAUACAUAUUUUACAAAUGAGAUUGUUCAUUUAUCCUAUUUCAUAUAGUACCAAUAUUUUUGAAUUUCCUCAAAUUUGCAAUAAAGCGGUGGCGAGAAAUGGAUUUGCCCAGUGGCGACCAACCACUCAGGAUCGGUACUGAGUUGACCUUAUAGAGGGUGUUCUUCGAUUAGUGGGAACAUUCGAAUAAUCGAAUAUUUUACACGGUACUACAAUCUACAAAUUGUAGUCGCUGCGCCUUCGAAAUUAUCAUUGCGUCGCGAAAGUGCACGUUGCGCUGAAUCCAGUUGAAUCGAGUAACGACCGCCAGAGGUCCACCUUUGAAAUCAGCUGUUGCCGCUUAAUAAUGUUUUCGCGAUUUUACGAGGAAAUAAUGAUAACCAGCUAUUCUAGCAAACAAUGUUGCGGUGUUUGAAUAUUCAUAAAAUAAAACGACUCGCAUGCACGUGGUUUAGAAGAGUUUGACAACGUUUGCUUCCUGCCUCGUGACGAUGUCGACGUUGAACACAAGGUUCGUGAUCGUGAUGCGUUUUGUACCUAAAAAUUAAACACGUUAAGGUAUGUGUGUAUAAAUUGAUAAUAAUUAGUCCGUAUAUAUGUAAAUAUAUGCGUGAUUUAUUGUUACGUAUAUCGCGAAUCAAAUAUAUAUUUUUCCGAAUGUAGCUAGAUGUAGCGCGGUCCAGUUCGUGUUUGUUGCGCAUGUAUCGAACUUUUUAAGCGUAAUUAAACCGUCGUUCGAUAACCAACGAUCUUUUAAUGCGUCUUCUAAUUCGAAACAUCAGCCUGCUACUCUCGUCGUUCGAAUUACCUAAUCUCGGGACUUUACAAGGGAUGAAAAUACAGAAAUUACUGCCAUUUAUAUUUGCAAUAUAUUAAAUAAUUAUUAGAUACAUUUAUGUGCGAUAGUCGUUUCGAAGUCAUGUUACUCGUAUUUACAUUUUUUUUUCUUCUUUCCUUCUUAAUUUAAAUCUCUGUUUUCCGUAAAGUCUCAAUAUUUUAUGUUUUCUUUUUUUUUUUUAUUUCGACUUUAAAAUCAAUUACUGAAACGAUCGCGAGCGUUCAAUUCGUACGUUAAAAUAUUUCUUUUUUUUUGAUAUCGUUCUCGUUACAAAUUUUUCCCCGCUUCACGCUUUGUCUCGUUCGGUGAUACAAAAAUUAACAGUUCGCUAACAUUCGACGAGUUCCGUGACGCGUUAAAAUAAAACUUCGAAAUUCGAAAAGACGAACAAGGUACAAAAAUAAAACGAUUCGCCGACAACGAUGACAAUCGAAACGGGAUAACUUAACUUUCUGUUCCAUCGACGGAAUGAAAGUAAUCGAGCGAAGAGCAGAGAGAGAACUGAAAAUAACGAUGAUUCAGAAAGUACCGCGUGUUUCAAAAUGCAUAAAAUGGAUUAUCGACAAAUGAUUCUUUUAAAAAAAAUAUGUACAAAACGGAAACGCAGAAUAAAAUUUGUUCGUACGAGAAAAUGUUAUUUUACGUUUUCAGGUUACUUUUUCAAAAGGAAUCGUCGUCUGUAAAUUGAUAAUACUAUGCGUUUUGAGACACACCGUAUAAAUUCGUGAAUCGUAAUACUGUUGAAUCGAUUACAUUAGUCUACCUACCCUCAGCUUUCAUUAACGCGCACGAAAAAAUUAUUUUAGAGAUUCUAGAGUACACGUUAUUCGUCCGAAUGUCUUACAAAAAACUUUGGUACCUGCUCCGGUGCUUUUCUUGCUUUUUUUUUCAUUUUUUUUUUGUUUUUUUUUUCUUUUCCUUUUUUUUCGUUUACGCACUCUUGUCCACCUACUGUUACACGCCUGAGAAUAGUACGAGAUAGUCAUACACAAAUUGCUAUAAAAUCACACGUUACAUUCACACUUAAUUAGGGACAGAAGUGACGAAAACAUCGAAUCGGAUUUCCCUUUUAGUUAAAAAAAGAAAGAA